GAGGCCUCGGCGCAGCUGUUUGGGGCUUUGUGCUCUGUUAACUGCGAGCGUUUGUUAGUAGCCAUGUAGGCCAUGAGUGAAUGGGUUUACUGGAUUAUUUCUUUAUUUACUUGAUUAUUUAUAGACAGGGGCUCUCAAUGUAGCCCAGGCUGGCCAGGAACUUACUAUGUAGACCAGGCUGACUUCAGUUGCUUCUGUUCUCAGGGUUUAAAGGCACAUGCGUGGGUGUUUUUAGAAGAGCAGGUGAUAUUCAACAAGACGAAGAACAUGGCUGCUUUUCUCUGUUCCCAGAGGACUGGCAGGGUUGUCCUGAUGUAUGUGGGCACACAGGAGGAUGCCGUGCUAGGGUCAAUGUUAAGGGAGAUAUUCAUCACAGAGCCUACGCCAGGCAGACUCAGAGUUACCUGAUGUAUGGAGCAUGCUUCGCACCCGAUUUCCUAGAUGACAAAGCACAGAGGCACGGAUUAGGACAAUGUCACUGAUCAAGAUGUGAGCUCUCAGCUUUUCCAGCCACCAUGUCUUUGCUCUGCAAUCAUGAACUCUCUGGAACUGGAAACCCCAAACCACAUGCUUUCUUUUUUAUAAGUUGUCUCGGCCAUGGGGUUUUAUCACAGCAAUAGAACAGAAGCUAAGACAGAGCCCAUGGCCUUUUAUGUGCUAGGGAAGUGCUCUCCCAUUGGCCACACAGUCCCAGGCCAGUGACAUCAUUCUUCAUGAGUUUUCUUGAGACAAAUGUUGACUGAAUCAUCAACUAAGGGAGCUUUUUCUGUGGUAAAGCCAGGUCUUCUGGCACAGUGAUAACUAUUUUAUAAAUACAUCAUAUCUUGUCAUAACUAGAUUGCAGAUGGAGUCCACAGCACAUCGGUGUCAAAUGAGGAAAAUCUUGCAAAUAUUAACUCAUAUCAUCAGUUUUCAAGAUUCAUUAUAGUGGUAUAAGCCAAUCAUCCCAGGACAGGCUCCAUACCAGCCUUUAGAGUAAGACUCUGGGUAAACAAAAAGCUUCACAAGAAGUUCACAUGGCUGUGUGUGGUGGUACAUGCCUGUAAUCUCAGCACUCGGAAGACUGUUGCAAGUUCAAGGCCAGCCUAGUCUACACAGCAAGACCUGUCUUGAUGGGGGUUAGAGGUUAAGGGAAAGAGAGAUGGAACAGAAGACAAAAACCAGUCUUCUUCAUUACCUAUUUUUGCAUAAUUUAUUAUUAAAUAUUGUUAUUGUUAAUAAAGGAUGAUAAAAUGGAGACUUUAGUAAGGUUAAACUAGUAUGUAUGUGUAUAUGUAUAAAUAUAUAUUUACUUUUAAAAAACAUCAUUUGCUAUAUAUAAAGUUACUUAUAAGUACACUUCUAUAAAUAUGUCAUAAUA
ensembl:antisense Tmem150cos transmembrane protein 150C, opposite strand